rfam:Camelus ferus unplaced genomic scaffold scaffold1231, whole genome shotgun sequence.
GAGGGUAUAGCUCAGUGGUAGAGUGUGUGCUUAGCAUGCACAAGGUCCUGGGUUCAAUCCCCAGUACUUCCA